UCUGAAUUUGAUUGUCAAUAAAAUCAAUUAAUUUCCCUGAGUCGAGUCUGUUUUAACCAUGACGGUAAUUGCUGAGUCAUCUCUCCCUGUCCUUAUCUCAACCCACAAACCUUUCACUAUA